GCUAAGGGGGCGGGUGUUCAGUUUGGGAGGCAUCCGCAUUGGGCCAUGAUGAGUGAGAAGUCACGUGAUCACAGGUGAAUGCCCAUACUAACUACCCAAAGCAAUCUCUAGAUUCGGUGCGGUCCCUAUCAAAAUCCCACAGCGCUUUUCACAGAAAUACAACAAACAGUUCUAAAAUCUGCAUGCCGUCACCACGACACAGAGCAGCCCUAGCAAUCUGGGGAAGGAACAACGCCUUGGCAUCACCUACCUGACUGUAAGUAUUUCACAAAGCUAUAGUGCUCAAAACAGGAUGGCCUUGGUGAAACACACGUAGGUCCAUGGAACAGAGCAGAAAUAAGCCCCGGCACAUAUGGGCAAUUAACUUAUGACAAAGGAGGGGCACCUGGGUGGCUCAGUCGGUUAAGCCUCUGAUUUCAGCUCAGGUCAGAUCUCACGUUCGUGGGUUCGAGCCCUGCAUCAGGCUCUGUGCUGACAGCUAGCUCAGAGCUUGGAGCCUGCUUCGGAGUCUGUGUCUCCCUCUCUUUCUACCCCUUUCCUGCUUGCACUCUGUCUCUCUCUCUCUCUCAAAAAUAAAUAAACAUUAAAAAAGUUGGACGCUUAGCCGUAUGAGCCACCAGGCACCCCUGCUUUAGCUGCCUUGUAAUUAAAUCACUGCGUGUCUGUUGAGGACUAAUUCUGUGCUGGUGUGUGGCAGUUUCAGGGGCUGCAAAGAUAAGCGAGACACGAAGGAGGGGGAGACACAUGGGCACACAGCGUCAGGCAGAAGGCAUCAUGGGGUUUCAGGAGCCGGCUGUCAAGCCUAAAUUCCUGGAAACGGACUUUGGAACCGCCCAGAACACGGAAGAAAAACGAUCUUGGGGGAUACAUAUGGGUCAGUAGAGACCCAAGUAGAGAGGGUGAACCGGGGCCCUGACCUCACUCGUUGCCGGCCUCGGACCUCGGCCACUGCUAGGAAGGCUCCUUUUCAAAGCAACUGCUUGUU
rnacentral:lncRNA from 1 species